rnacentral:rRNA from 1 species
GACGAACGCUGGCGGCGUGCCUAAUACAUGCAAGUAGAACGCACAGUUUAUACCGUAGCUUGCUACACCAUAGACUGUGAGUUGCGAACGGGUGAGUAACGCGUAGGUAACCUGCCUGGUAGCGGGGGAUAACUAUUGGAAACGAUAGCUAAUACCGCAUCAUAUUGAUUAUUGCAUGAUAAUUGAUUGAAAGAUGCUAUUGCAUCACUACCAGAUGGACCUGCGUUGUAUUAGCUAGUAGGUGAGGUAACGGCUCACCUAGGCGACGAUACAUAGCCGACCUGAGAGGGUGAUCGGCCACACUGGGACUGAGACACGGCCCAGACUCCUACGGGAGGCAGCAGUAGGGAAUCUUCGGCAAUGGACGAAAGUCUGACCGAGCAACGCCGCGUGAGUGAAGAAGGUUUUCGGAUCGUAAAGCUCUGUUGUAAGAGAAGAACGGGUGUGAGAGUGGAAAGUUCACACUGUGACGGUAUCUUACCAGAAAGGGACGGCUAACUACGUG